UCUUGACUUUGGUUCUUUGUAGAUUGCACUAACUGCUUGCAGAAGCGAAAGCCAGUUAAUAUGACAACGACUGAGAAGUUCUUUGCCAUCAUGAUUAUACCCAAGUAUGGCUACACUGAUGGAAGUAGUGUGGAAGGACUGGCGUCAGAAAGCACCAUCAAUGUGAAAAUAACGUGAAGACAGAAAGCCAAGCAGCCAGACAGGCAACCACAACAAAAAUGGCUCCAACAGGAAGCUAAAAGGAAAUAAUGAGUAGAAAGUGUGACACUGGCUAAUCCUUAUGGUAUAGAAGCACCCUGAGAGAAACCAUAAUCUGCUAGCAGGUAUCUGUGAAGACAAGUAACAGCUGAAUAAUUUUUCCUUUGGCUAAGAUGCAAAUAAGUUUAUUUCUGUGCAGAAUACUAAGUUCCUCUUCACUCAAGCAAAACUCGGUGGUGGUUUCUGUCUGUCUGUCUAUCAUUUGUGGAUGUGGUUUCGGAAGUCAUCAUUUGCAGUAAUGAUGACUUGCUCCAACCACAAACAACUUUUCAAGGAAGAAAGAAAGAAAAGCGAUGAACAGGAAAAUCUUUAAAUUACAACUGCUUUCUGCAGAAGAAUUUUACUUAGAAAAAAAAAUAUUCAGAUGUGG
rnacentral:lncRNA from 1 species